rnacentral:rRNA from 1 species
CCUACGAGUGACAGCAGUGAGGAAUAUUGGUCAAUGGGCGCGAGCCUGAACCAGCCAAGUAGCGUGAAGGCUGACUGCCCUACGGGUUGUAAACUUCUUUUAUAAAGGAAUAAAGUGAGGCACGUGUGCCUUUUUGUAUGUACUUUAUGAAUAAGGAUCGGCUAACUCCGGUCCAGCAGCCGCGGUAAUACGGAGGAUCCGAGCGUUAUCCGGAUUUAUUGGGUUUAAAGGUAGCGUAGAUGGGUUGUUAAGUCAGUUGUGAAAGUUUGCGGCUCAACCGUAAAAUUGCAAUUGAUACUGGCAGUCUUGAGUACAGUUGAGGUAGGCGGAAGUUGUGGUGUAGCGGUGAAAUGCUUAGAUAUCACGAAGAACUCCGAUUGCGAAGGCAGCUUACUAAACUGCCACUGACAUUGAUGCUCGAAAGUGUGGGUAUCAAACAGGAUUAGAUACCCGGGUAGUC